GGGUGUAUAGCUCAGUGGUAGAGCAUUCGGCUGAAGAUCGAGGGGUCUCCGAUUCAAACCCGUGUGUCCU